rnacentral:rRNA from 1 species
AUGGGAGCUUGCUCCCUGAUGUUAGCGGCGGACGGGUGAGUAACACGUGGGUAACCUGCCUGUAAGACUGGGAUAACUCCGGGAAACCGGGGCUAAUACCGGAUGGUUGUUUGAACCGCAUGGUUCAAACAUAAAAGGUGGCUUCGGCUACCACUUACAGAUGGACCCGCGGCGCAUUAGCUAGUUGGUGAGGUAACGGCUCACCAAGGCAACGAUGCGUAGCCGACCUGAGAGGGUGAUCGGCCACACUGGGACUGAGACACGGCCCAGACUCCUACGGGAGGCAGCAGUAGGGAAUCUUCCGCAAUGGACGAAAGUCUGACGGAGCAACGCCGCGUGAGUGAUGAAGGUUUUCGGAUCGUAAAGCUCUGUUGUUAGGGAAGAACAAGUACCGUUCGAAUAGGGCGGUACCUUGACGGUACCUAACCAGAAAGCCACGGCUAACUACGUGCCAGCAGCCGCGGUAAUACGUAGGUGGCAAGCGUUGUCCGGAAUUAUUGGGCGUAAAGGGCUCGCAGGCGGUUUCUUAAGUCUGAUGUGAAAGCCCCCGGCUCAACCGGGGAGGGUCAUUGGAAACUGGGGAACUUGAGUGCAGAAGAGGAGAGUGGAAUUCCACGUGUAGCGGUGAAAUGCGUAGAGAUGUGGAGGAACACCAGUGGCGAAGGCGACUCUCUGGUCUGUAACUGACGCUGAGGAGCGAAAGCGUGGGGAGCGAACAGGAUUAGAUACCCUGGUAGUCCACGCCGUAAACGAUGAGUGCUAAGUGUUAGGGGGUUUCCGCCCCUUAGUGCUGCAGCUAACGCAUUAAGCACUCC